UUAUUUGGCAUUUGACAAUUGAUGUGUCAAAUCAGUACAAUUUGCUCAAAGAACUGUUGAUUUUUUUUAACCGCGUAUCUCCGAAUCCGUAUAUAACAGGUACCGUGUGUCUCGGGGACUACUUGUGUGUACUUCUCAUAAGCAUCAUCAUUAUCAUCAUCAUUUCUCGUGUUGUUCCGGUCGUGUCGAAUUUAACCGUGAAUUUAGUGGGCGAUUACAAUCCCAACCGGCAUUAUCGUGCGAUUUUUAUGUGUUUCUAUCAUUUUUCUCAUUCUAUAAUUCAGAAAUUUUUUCGCUUUGUCUUGUUCUUGGGUGUUGGUCAGUUUUUGCUCGCAACUUGGCUGUGUCACACCAACCAUCCUCAUGGUUCAUAUGGCUCUUCUCUUUCCAUCGUUGGAGAGAAUCUCUUCCGUCUCGCUUUUCUGUGACAUGUCCAAUUUUGCUUGCUACAUCAAUCGUUAACGCUAGCGCUCUCCUCUCGUACGCUCGUUGUAUCAUUGUGUAGCCACACGAGGAAGGCGCUGCUUCGCGUUCACAUGAAAAUGUGGUAGUGUGAAAUCAAGUUUGCAAGCGGCAGGACGCGUCGAUUUGUGCCCGUUUUUCUCUUUCGUAAAACCAAUACGGAAAAACUAUUUGAGAUCGUAACACGCACGAACGGAAGUGAGUACGGACCACGAUAUAAGCAAUACUCAAUUGGUUGGAGAGCUGAAAAACAACAGGAGAUGUGAGGAAAAAAGGCAAGAACGAUCAUUCAACGCGCUAGUGCCGGACAAAGGAGAAGUGGCAGGAAGGCAGGAACGAUAAUUCAACGCGCUAGCGCCGGACGAAGGAGAAGCGGUAGGAAAGCAGGAACGAUCAUCCAACGUGCUAGCGUCUGGUACAUGGGAUGCGGCUGGAAGAUAGGGAUGAACAUCCAGUUCGCUAGCGCAGCACGUGGGGGCAGCGAAGGGAGGGAGACGGAACUAAUCUUUAACGCGUACACACCAGUCGACGAGCACAACGCGGAUGAAAGGAAGAACGAGGAGAGAAGGCAGGCAAGACGGGUACGUGUGUAUCCCUUACCGGUUUUCGGCAGUGUGAAUUGUGUGAGUAUGUAAAUAUGUGUGUGCGAGUAAAGAGGUAAUAAAGAGCGUAAGCAUGUGUGGAAUGGAUAAA